GACGAACCGUGCGAACGUUGUUCGGAAUCACUGGGCUUAAAGGGCGCGUAGGCGGUCUGUCAAGUCAGGGGUGAAAGCCUCCAGCUUAACUGGAGAAGUGCCUUUGAUACUGGCGGACUCGAGUGAGGUAGGGGUAGUGGGAACUUCCGGUGGAGCGGUGAAAUGCGCAGAUAUCAGGAGGAACACCGGUGGCGAAGGCGGUUCUCUGGGAAUGUCCUGACGCUGAGGAGCGAAA
rnacentral:rRNA from 1 species